rnacentral:rRNA from 1 species
UCGAGCGAGUCUGCCUUGAAGAUCGGAGUGCUUGCACUCUGUGAAACAAGAUACAGGCUAGCGGCGGACGGGUGAGUAACACGUGGGUAACCUGCCCAAGAGAUCGGGAUAACACCUGGAAACAGAUGCUAAUACCGGAUAACAACAGAUGAUGCCUAUCAACUGUUUAAAAGAUGGUUCUGCUAUCACUCUUGGAUGGACCUGCGGUGCAUUAGCUAGUUGGUAGGGUAACGGCCUACCAAGGCGAUGAUGCAUAGCCGAGUUGAGAGACUGAUCGGCCACAUUGGGACUGAGACACGGCCCAAACUCCUACGGGAGGCAGCAGUAGGGAAUCUUCCACAAUGGACGCAAGUCUGAUGGAGCAACGCCGCGUGAGUGAAGAAGGGCUUCGGCUCGUAAAGCUCUGUUGUUGGUGAAGAAGGACAGGGGUAGUAACUGACCUUUGUUUGACGGUAAUCAAUUAGAAAGUCACGGCUAACUACGUGCCAGCAGCCGCGGUAAUACGUAGGUGGCAAGCGUUGUCCGGAUUUAUUGGGCGUAAAGCGAGUGCAGGCGGCUCGAUAAGUCUGAUGUGAAAGCCUUCGGCUCAACCGGAGAAUUGCAUCAGAAACUGUCGAGCUUGAGUACAGAAGAGGAGAGUGGAACUCCAUGUGUAGCGGUGAAAUGCGUAGAUAUAUGGAAGAACACCGGUGGCGAAGGCGGCUCUCUGGUCUGUUACUGACGCUGAGGCUCGAAAGCAUGGGUAGCGAACAGGAUUAGAUACCCUGGUAGUCCAUGCCGUAAACGAUGAGUGCUAAGUGUUGGGAGGUUUCCGCCUCU